rnacentral:rRNA from 1 species
UACGAAGGGGGGCUAGCGUUGCUCGGAAUCACUGGGCGUAAAGGGUGCGUAGGCGGGUCUUUAAGUCAGGGGUGAAAUCCUGGAGCUCAACUCCAGAACUGCCUUUGAUACUGGCGAUCUCGAGUCCGGGAGAGGUGAGUGGAACUGCGAGUGUAGAGGUGAAAUUCGUAGAUAUUCGCAAGAACACCAGUGGCGAAGGCGGACUCACUGGCCCGGUACUGGACGC